GACUGAACUUUGAACAGUUUUUUAUAAGAUGAACUGGUGUUACACAGCGUGUGUCAUUGCUCUGUUGAAAUGAAAGCUGAUGAUGGACUUACAAAAUGUGAUAAUUCUUCUACUGUUGUCUUGCACCACUGUGUUUACAGGAUGUCCAGUCAUGCUGUCUUGAGAAAUUUCCUGUGCAGACAGACUAAACUAAUAAAUCAAGCAUGCUUGAAAUUAGCAUACACCUAUCAUAAUUAGAUCCUUUUACAAUCUUGGAAUAUUUAUAUGAUUAAAAAGCCUUGUCAGCUAUAAAAUGCUACUUCUAAGAUAUACAGUGGUGUGAAAAAGUGUUGGCCCCCUUCCUGAUUUCUUAUUUUUAUUGCAUGUUUGUCCCAGUUUAAUGUUUCAGAUCAUCAAACUAAUUUAAAUAUUAGUAAAAGAUAACACAAGUGAACACAACAUGCAGUUUUUAAAUGAAGAUUUUAAUUAUCAAGGGAAAACAAAAUCCAAAAACUACAUGGCCCUGUGUGAAAAAGUGUUUAGCCCCUAAACCUAAUAACUGGUUGGGCCACUCUUAGCAGCAACAACUGCAAUCAAGCAUUUGCGAUAACUUGCAAUGAGUCUGUAACAGCGCCGUGGAGGAGUUUUGGUCCACUCAUUCAUCUAUGCAGAAUUGUUGUAAUUCAGCC
ensembl:lncRNA